CUGAGAGACAGAAGGAUAAAAGGAUAGAGCAGGGACAGAAGGAUAAACGGAUAGAAGGACAGGCACAGUUGUUUGUGUAUAAUAUUUUGUACACCCCCCCCCCCCACACACACACUCUUCUAAAUGUGUCUGUCUCUUUUAGAAGCCUUUGGUCUAACCACACAUGCCAUUUAGUCUCUGUAAUAUGUCAUAUUUCCAAAUACUUUGAUCAGACAAUGGUAACAGCAUCUGAGUCCUAUCACUCUUGUCUGAUAUGUCAGCAGUGCCUGAGGCAUACAGCCACCAAAAACCUGCCUCAAAACUAAUGACUGGAACUCAAUCAGAAUAACACCAGUGAUUAGUAUAGAAUAUUGUAGAAUAGAACAAAACUCUACAUGGACGUGGCGCCGAUAAGACUAUCGUCGGCUUAGAUUAAUAUUUAGCUUGUCAUUUUUUCCGUAGGCCCAGGUUCAAGACCGGGGUCAACAGCAGGAGGAGGAGAGGGAGAGCUUUGUGACCACCAACCUGAGUCGGAUCCAGUACAUGCAGGUCAGACUGAGAAGCAACCUGGAGGCUAUAGGCUUGCUCAACAAACAGCUGAGUGCUCUGGGAGGAGAGAACGAGAGAUUGCGUCUGCAGCUGGAGGAGGAGAGAGCAGAGCGCAGACGAGUGAUACCGCCAACCAACAACCGGAGGGGUACCUCCCCCCUUCCCCUCUGCCUGACCCAUGGAUCUUCCUCCUCCCUUCCCUCCCUCUCCCCCUCUCUGGAUAGAGACACAGGAUACCCUCCCCCUGCCUCCCACCUUUCCCCCUCCCCUUUUCACUACCCCCCCAGCCACAGCCCCAGUCCCAGGCCAGGGGAGAAGGACACUGCCCUGACCCGAGCAGAGUUGAGCGUGGCUGGGCCGCGGGAGCCAGGCGAGGCCCAGGCUGUUAAUGAGGCCUACUGGGUGAGGAGGGUGGGAGAACUAUCAGUACAGUUGCAGGACAGAGAGCUCUACUGGUCAGGUAGGAUCAACCACCUCGCUACAGAGAUACGACAGACCAAGGACACUUCGCCCCUCACCUGACCUCCCGCUGACCUCUAAACCCUGUUCCCUGACCUCUAAUGCCUGACAUCUCCUCCUUGUUUGGCUGUUGUUUUGGAUGGGUUCAGUUAUGAAGCCAUAUCAUUGUCUCUGAUCACUGUAUGACUGUGUACCAUGUGCUACAAAUGUUGACAUUUACAUCUAUUUUGAGUUUGCGUGUCAUUUGUGGUUAGUGCCGUGUGUGUGUGUGUGUGUGUUCCUGUACUCGUACAGUGCCUUGUAACAUGGAGACUAUUGUAGUAAUAUUGAUAGUUAUUGUUGUCUCUCUGAGUUCCAGUUUGAUAAUAAAUCCACAUUUUUAAAAAAAAUCCCGUUUUAUGUUUAAAGUUGUCACUGAAAGCCAGAUAGUUGUCACUGAAAGCCAGAUAGUUGAGACUGUAGGCCAGAUAGUUGUCACUGUAGGCCAGAUAGUUGUCACUGAAGGUCAGAUAGUUGUCACUGUAGGUCAGAUAGUUGUCACUGAAGGCCAGAUAGUUGUCACUGUAGGCCAGAUAGUUGUCACUAUAGGCCAGAUAGUUGUCACUUUGUAGC
ensembl:lncRNA